GACGAACGCUGGCGGCGUGCUUAACACAUGCAAGUCGAACGGAGUGGCGAACGGGUGAGUAACACGUGGGUGAUCUUCCUUUCACUUCGGGAUUAGCUUGGGAAACUGGGUCUAAUUCCGGAUAGUGCAAGAUGCGCUCUCGGCCUAUCCGCUUGGUGGUGUGGUAAUGGCCUACAACGGCGUCGACUGGUCGCCGGCCUGAGAUGGUGUACGGCCACAUGGGGACUGAGAUACGGCCCAGACUCGUACGGGAGGCAGCAGGGGGGAAGAUGGCACAAUGGGGGGAAGCCUGAUGAAGAGACGCCGGGGGGGUGAGGAAGGCCUUCGGGUUGUAAACUCAUUUCGACAGGGACGCGGUACCUGUAUAAGAAGCACCGGCUAACUACGUGCCAGCAGCCGCGGUAAUUC
rnacentral:rRNA from 1 species